rnacentral:rRNA from 1 species
GACGAACGCUGGCGGCGUGCUUAACACAUGCAAGUCGAACGGUGACGCUGGAGCUUGCUCCAGCUGAUCAGUGGCGAACGGGUGAGUAACACGUGAGCAACCUGCCCUUGACUCUGGGAUAACCCCGGGAAACCGGAGCUAAUACCGGAUACGAGCCGCACAGGCAUCUGCGCGGUUGGAAAGUUUUUCGGUCAAGGAUGGGCUCGCGGCCUAUCAGCUUGUUGGUGGGGUAACGGCCCACCAAGGCGACGACGGGUAGCCGGCCUGAGAGGGCGACCGGCCACACUGGGACUGGGACACGGCCCAGACUCCUACGGGAGGCGGCAGUGGGGAAUAUUGCACAAUGGGCGAAAGCCUGAUGCAGCGACGCCGCGUGAGGGAUGAAGGCCUUCGGGUUGUAAACCUCUUUCAGCAGGGAAGAAGCGAAAGUGACGGUACCUGCAGAAGAAGCACCGGCUAACUACGUGCCAGCCGCCGCCGUAA